rnacentral:rRNA from 1 species
GACGAACGCUGGCGGCGUGCUUAACACAUGCAAGUCGAACGGAAAGGCCCUGCUUUUGUGGGGUGCUCGAGUGGCGAACGGGUGAGUAACACGUGAGUAACCUGCCCUUGACUUUGGGAUAACUUCAGGAAACUGGGGCUAAUACCGGAUAGGAUCUCCUGCUGCAUGGUGGGGGUUGGAAAGUUUCGGCGGUUGGGGAUGGACUCGCGGCUUAUCAGCUUGUUGGUGGGGUAGUGGCUUACCAAGGCUUUGACGGGUAGCCGGCCUGAGAGGGUGAACGGCCACAUGGGGACUGAGAUACGGCCCAGACUCCUACGGGAGGCAGAAGUGGGGAAUAUUGCACAAUGGGCGGAAGCCUGAUGCAGCAACGCUGCGUGCGGGAUGACGGCUUUCGGGUUGUAAACCGCUUUCGCCUGUGACGAAGCGUGAGUGACGGUAAUGAGUAAAGAAGCACCGGCUAACUACGUG